rnacentral:rRNA from 1 species
UGGGGAAUAUUGGACAAUGGGCGGAAGCCUGAUCCAGCCAUGCCGCGUGUGUUAAGAAGGCCUUUUGGUUGUAAAGCACUUUAAGCGAGGAGGAGGCUACUUGGAUUAAUACUCUAGGAUAGUGGACGUUACUCGCAGAAUAAGCACCGGCUAACUCUGUGCCAGCAGCCGCGGUAAUACAGAGGGUGCGAGCGUUAAUCGGAUUUACUGGGCGUAAAGCGUGCGUAGGCGGCUUCUUAAGUCGGAUGUGAAAUCCCUGAGCUUAACUUAGGAAUUGCAUUCGAUACUGGGAAGCUAGAGUAUGGGAGAGGAUGGUAGAAUUCCAGGUGUAGCGGUGAAAUGCGUAGAGAUCUGGAGGAAUACCGAUGGCGAAGGCAGCCAUCUGGCCUAAUACUGACGCUGAGGUACGAAAGCAUGGGGAGCAAACAGG